rnacentral:rRNA from 1 species
UACGUAGGUGGCAAGCGUUGUCCGGAUUUAUUGGGUUUAAAGGGUGCGUAGGCGGCUUAAUAAGUCAGUGGUGAAAGCCGAUCGCUUAACGAUCGAACUGCCAUUGAUACUGCUAGGCUUGAGUAUAGUUGAGGUAGGCGGAAUUGACAGUGUAGCGGUGAAAAUGCAUAGAUAUUGUCAAGAACACCAAUUGCGAAGGCAGCUUACUAAAGUAUAACUGACGCUGAGGCACGAAAGUGCGGGAGUCAAAACAGG